UACGGAGGGUGCAAGCGUUAUCCGGAUUCACUGGGUUUAAAGGGUGCGUAGGAGGGCAGGUAAGUCAGUGGUGAAAUCUCCAAGCUUAACUUGGAAACUGCCGUUGAUACUAUCUGUCUUGAAUACCGUGGAGAUGAGCGGAAUAUGUCAUGUAGCGGUGAAAUGCUUAGAUAUGACAUAGAACACCAAUUGCGAAGGCAGCUCGUUACACGAAUAUUGACUCUGAGGCACGAAAGCGUGGGGAGCGAACAGG
rnacentral:rRNA from 1 species